CGCGACCUCAGGUCAGGCGGGGCUAACCGCUGAGUUUAAGCAUAUCAAUAAGCGGAGGAAAAGAAACUAACAAGGAUUCCCUUAGUAACGGC
rnacentral:rRNA from 1 species